AUUGGUCAAUGGAGGCAACUCUGAACCAGCCAAGUCGCGUGAAGGAUGACUGCCCUACGGGUUGUAAACUUCUUUUUUAAGGGAAUAAAGUGAGCCACGUGUAGCUUUUUGCAUGUACCUUACGCAUGAGGAUCGGCUAACCACGUGCCAGCAGCCGCGGUAAUACGGAGGAUACGAGCGUUAGCCGGAUUUAUUGGGUUUAAAGGGUGCGCAGGCGGAAUAUUAAGUCGGCGGUGAAAGUUUGCAGCUUAACUGUAAAAUUGCCGUUGAUACUGGUAUUCUUGAGUGUAUAUGAAGUAGGCGGAAUUUGUAGUGUAGCGGUGAAAUGCAUAGAUAUUACAAGGAACUCCGAUUGCGAAGGCAGCUUACUAAAAUACAACUGACGCUUAGGCACGAAAGCUAGGGGAGCAAACA
rnacentral:rRNA from 1 species